UCCCCUAGUAACUGCGAGUGAAGCGGGAAAAGCUCAAAUUUAAAAUCUGGCGGUCUUAUGGCCGUCCGAGUUGUAAUCUGGAGAAGUGUUUUCCGCGUCGGACCGUGUACAAGUCUCCUGGAACGGAGCGUCAUAGAGGGUGAGAAUCCCGUCCAUGACACGGACCGCCGAUGCUUUGUGAUACACUCUCGAAGAGUCGAGUUGUUUGGGAAUGCAGCUCAAAAUGGGUGGUAAAUUCCAUCUAAAGCUAAAUAUUGGCGAGAGACCGAUAGCGAACAAGUACCGUGAGGGAAAGAUGAAAAGCACUUUGGAAAGAGAGUUAAACAGUACGUGAAAUUGUUGAAAGGGAAACGCUUGAAGUCAGUCGCGUCUUUCAGAACUCAGCCUUGCUUCGGCCUGGUGUACUUUCUGUUAGACGGGUCAACGUCAAUUUCGAUCGGCGGAGAAAGGUUGAGGGAAUGUAGCGUUGUUUCGGCGACGUGUUAUAGCCCUCUUCUGUAUACGUCGGUUGGGAUUGAGGACCGCAGCGCGCCUUUAUGGCCAGGGGUUCGCCCCAUGUACCGCGCUUAGGAUGUUGGCAUAAUGGCUUUAAGCGACCCGUCUUGAAACACGGACCAAGGAGUCUAACAUGCUUGCGAGUAUUCGGGUGGAAAACCCUUGUGCGUAAUGAAAGUAAAAGUUGGGAGCCUCCGCGAGGGGGUGCACCGACGCCCGGCCCUGACGUUCUCUGACGGUGCUGCGGUAGAGCAAGUAUGUUGGGACCCGAAAGAUGGUGAACUAUGCCUGAAUAGGGCGAAGCCAGAGGAAACUCUGGUGGAGGCUCGUAGCGAUUCUGACGUGCAAAUCGAUCGUCAAAUUUGGG
rnacentral:rRNA from 1 species